CAUGCUAAGUAAUCGGGCCUCUUUGCCUAAGUAUUGAGUUUCACAUCAAAAGAUAUGAAGGAUAAAGAAACUUUAUUGUAAAGCUAGUUUUAACUCGUAGUCUGUUUGAUUCGAGUAAGUAAGUCUGAGGGAUAUUCUAUACCUGGUGCUCUAAAGUCAUCUGGUUCAAGAGUCAUUGAUUGAAAACUUGCUACAUGGGUCAAACAGAAGACUUAAGAGGUUAAGACACUCACUAGCGGUACAAUGUUAAAAAAAAAUUAUUAAUAAAUGAAGAACAGAAGUAACAAUAUACUUGUCCAUAUGAAGGUUAAUGAUUUGAAGAUAAAGAUAGGGGUAAUUUAG
rnacentral:lncRNA from 1 species